AUUGAACGCUGGCGGCAUGCUUUACACAUGCAAGUCGAACGGUAACAGGCCGCAAGUUGCUGACGCGUGGCGGACGGGUGAGUAAUGCACCGGAACGUGCCCAGUCGUGGGGGAUAACUACUCGACAGAGUAGCUAAUACCGCAUACGAUCUAUGGGUGAAAGCGGGGGACCGUAAGGCCUCGCGCGAUUGGAGCGGCCGAUGUCAGAUUAGGUAGUUGGUGGGGUAAAGGCUCACGAAGCCCACGAUCUGUAGCUGGUCUCAGAGGACGAGCAGCCACACUGGGACUGAGACACGGCCCAGGGUCCUACGGGAGGCCGCAGUGGGGAAUGUUGGACAAUGGGCGGAAGCCUGACACAGCAAGGCCGCGUGUAGGACGAAGGCGUUCGGGUUGUAAACUGCGUUUGUACGGAGCGAAACGGUUCUGGUUAAUACCCGGGGCUAAUGACGGUACCGUAAGAAUAAGCACCGGCUAACUACGUG
rnacentral:rRNA from 1 species